CGAAGCAUGCCCCAGGGCAGCCAUGACUUGCUCGGCUUCAGACAGCGAGAAGAUUGUGAUAAACUGCGGCGGGAUCCGACACGAAACCUACCGGAGCACUUUGAAGACAUUGCCCGGGACGCGUUUGUCUUGGCUGACCGAGCCCGAUGCCUUCAGCAACUUCGAUUACGACCCUAAGUCGGACGAAUUCUUUUUCGAUCGCCAUCCAGCUACCUUCGCUUUCAUCCUAAAUUACUACCGCACGGGUAAGCUCCAUUGUCCGAACGAUGUCUGUGGACCAUUAUUUGAAGAGGAGCUCGCCUUUUGGGGCAUUGAUGAGACUGACGUGGAGGCGUGCUGCUGGAUGAACUACAGGCAGCACCGCGACGCAGAGGAAGCCUUGGACAGCUUUGAGACUCCGGAGCCAGACGUACCUGAGGAUGACCCGGCGCUCACCGGCGGAGUGGAUGGAGACCUAAAGCGGCUUUGCAUGCAGGAGGACGGCCGCAAAGCGACUUGGUGGGAAGUAUGGCAGCCCAGAAUGUGGGCGCUGUUCGAGGACCCUUACUCUUCCAAAUACGCCCGGUAUGUGGCCUUGGCCUCGCUGUUCUUCAUCCUUCUCUCGAUCUCCACCUUCUGUUUGGAGACCCAUGAGGCUUUCAAUACCAUCUACAACAAAACAGAGAAUGUCACUACUGGCAACGUAACACAUGAGGAGAUUGUAUAUGAAGUUGUGACAGAUGGCUGGCUGACAUAUGUGGAGGGUGUCUGUGUCAUCUGGUUCACCAUUGAGGUGGUGGCCCGGGUCAUCUUUUGCCCUGACAAGGCAGAGUUCUUCCGUAGCACCCUUAACAUCAUAGACUUUGUGGCUAUUGUUCCCUUUUACCUGGAGGUAGCACUUAGUGGCCUAUCCUCUAAAACAGCCAAAGAUGUGUUGAGCUUCCUACGUGUGGUACGUUUUGUCCGUAUCCUGCGUAUAUUCAAGCUAACCCGCCAUUUUGUCGGUUUACGGGUUUUGGGCCACACUUUGCGGGCAAGUACCAAUGAGUUCUUGUUGCUAAUCAUUUUCCUGGCGCUGGGCGUCCUCAUCUUUGCUACUAUGAUCUACUAUGCUGAACGUAUUGGAGCUGACCCUAAGGAUCCAACUGCUGCAGCCCACACCAACUUUAAGAACAUUCCCAUUGGCUUCUGGUGGGCUGUGGUGACAAUGACUACUCUUGGAUAUGGAGAUAUGUACCCGGAAACAUGGUCGGGAAUGCUAGUGGGUGCCCUAUGUGCCUUGGCUGGUGUGCUAACCAUUGCUAUGCCUGUGCCUGUUAUUGUCAACAACUUUGGGAUGUACUACUCGCUGGCCAUGGCAAAGCAGAAGCUUCCAAAGAAAAGGAACAAGCACAUCCCAAGAGCGCCACAGCCAGGAAGUCCUAAUUACUGCAAGCCAGAUGCUCUGGCAAUGGCAACUGCUUCUCCACAUAGAUUAAUGGGCAAUGUAAUUGGGCCAGGCUUGGUGGAAUCUGGAAGCAUGAUAGGUACUGGAGACUGUCCAUUGGCACAGGAAGAGAUCAUUGAAAUAAACAGAGCAGACUCUAAGCAGAAUGGUGAUGCAGCUGCCAAUGCAGCAGCUCUGGCCAAUGAGGACUGUCCUACCAUAGACCAGGUUCUUGGGGAUGAGCGCAGUCCAGUCACUGGAGGACUUGGCUCUAACACCAGCCGUGAACGGUACCCACACGACCGUGCCUGCUUUCUUCUGAGUGCUGGGGAGUUUCAGCGAACCACAGAUGGGAACGUUCGGAAAGUCGGAGGCACCAUGAAUGGCUACUGGAGUGACAGCCCAUGGUAGAAGAGCAGACGCCAAAUGCCAGAAAAGAAGAAGGGAACAACGAGGAGGAAUAUUGAAAAAUGGCUGAGAUUAAAAGGAUUGCAGAGUUUGCCCUGACCUGCAUCUACCUCUCAACAAAGAUGCAUCCAUAUUUUCCAACCUGGAUUUAUUUCUUUUGCUUUUUUUAGUUUUAAAGAAAGACACCAAGAGAUAAAUGUUUUCACGUUUACUUUGGUAUUCAUUAGGAUUAAUCUGUCUCAGCAUCUUUGUCAUAAUUUUUCUCUAUAAAGACUUCUAAAGAUUAUGCUUUUUACACAAGAUUGUUGUGCAGAAAUUGUGCAACAGGCCAUGAAGUAAUGGUGAUGGAGGGAAGCUGAGCUGCCCCGACUCCUGCUCUUACAUUCAUCCCUCACCACUUAUGCUGUUCUGGGAGAGAGAAAAUAAGAUUUUAUUAAAUCAAACAUUUGAUUCCUUAUGAUUGAAUAGCUUUUAUUAAGGCAGGCAUCAGUGUUUGCUGGAUAUAUUUUAAAAAAUAGAAUUUUCUUCCUUAUUGACACCUGAGACCACAGUUUAGGAUGAUUUGAUAAAUGCAGAGCUUGAAUUUAUUAAAGCAGAGCUUUUAUUAAAUGCAUUUAAUAUGCAAAUCUUGAAAAUCCAGUUAAAGCUGCGUACUGAGAUCAGAGCUACAUCUACAAUUUGAUUUCAACUUGUGAAGAAAAUAAGUUCAUGUGAUACAACCUCAAAGCUACAGACUCUGUUGCAGAGGACAGUUAAAAGUUAAAGGGCCACUAAUUCAACACUAACUGACAAAUAAACAUUCCAUUACAAAACAUGGAACUACAAGCAGAAACAGGAACCCCUAAUGCUACAUGCAUUCAUUAAAGUAACAUCACAGCCAGUUGCAUCAUUUGACUAAAAAGGAGAAAUUGUGCAAGAAAAAAAGUUACUUUUUUAUAUUGUAUGUUAAAGACAGACAUAUACAAUUCCCACUCUUCAUUGUCUCUUUAUGGUCAAAUGUUCCUUAUGACUGCAUCAGUCACUUUACCUGAGGGUUCUGCUUGUCACAACACUGUAAAUAUGUAGACGAUUUGCAUGGUCUUCCAACGCAAGCAGCAAGUACAGAUAUGUGAAUAAUAAUGUAAGAAAGCUCGGCAUUUUAGUUUAAAACAUAAGCAAUGUAUAUAAAACAUUUAGACUGCUGUAAGAGUGUGUGCGUCUGGACGCAUACACAUAGCAUACAUUGGCAUGCAGAACAAAGCUACUGUUAUCUCAGUGAAUGCAGGAAGAAACAGGAGGGGCUGAAAUGAUGCAUGUUAGUGGGAACAGAUGAACCUCGCUACUGUAAUGGGGACGGGUGAGGGAGGGACAGAUUAUUUUUUCAGGAAGGGAAGGGGAGCCAUUUCUAGUAACUGCUAUGAAGCUGCUUUGUUAUAGAUGUUGAGAUACUUCAUUUUUAUUUGCUUUUCUAUUCAAGAGAUGUUGAGAAAGCUAUGUAUUUUUCAGAUAUAUGCAAGUAGAAGCAGAAGUUGAACUAAUUCAGUGAAAAUAAAAAAUAUUAAAAAUUUUCUCAACUCCUCUGCUGCAACUGAAAAAAGAAAACUCUCUCUUUCCAAGACUGCUUCUCACCAAAGUUUCUGCAUUCAUAGUUUGGACACAUCAUUCUAACUGUUAGUCUGCAAUGCCCUGAUGUCUAUGGUGUCACUUAAACUACAGUGAGUUCAGAAGAUAAAAGCAUCUGUAAGGAAAAUUAUAUUUGUAAUUAUUUUAAUGCAGAAAACACUAUAAGGGUGUAUGACUGUUCACUACUAUUUUGCCACAAUUGUAAUUUAACUUUUAAUUCAUGUUCCAGAAGUGAGUGUGUAUAAGAGACAGAAUUUAACUAAGAAGACAAAUUUCUGAAAUUAUGAAAUGAUUUCAUUUGACAUUAGAGUUUGUUGAGCUUCUUUCCAUUGCACUGUUUUUUUUUUUUCAUUCACUGACAACUCAGGUAUCUAUUUUCCACUACUUUCCUUGUGAUUCCUUUCUGCAAUGUUUUCCAACUUUAUGCAUUGUAUGUAUAGAAAAAAGAGUGGAGAAGAAGAAAUGAACUCUUUUGUGCAUGUUUCUACCACAUGCUGUGGUCACCUCGCUCCAAAAUGCUAUUUUACCUUCACUAUUCAAUUAUGUAUCCUGGCUCCUUGCUCCUUGUGACGUCCCCUUGCCUUCACAUCCCAAAUAAUAGAAGAUCACUUUUGUGAGACACCAGCCUUUUAUGCACAUAGUGCAAUUACAUAAAAUGGCUAAAUGAACUACUUUUUGCAUAUGAAUAGAAAAAAAGCUGACUUAAAAGGGGAUUUAACUGAGGAGGAGACAGGAAAAGAAAAUAAGCUGAUGAAAAAACAGUGACAUGUUAUUGAAGAGGUAACAAGGUGUAAGUGCUUUAAAUGAUGUGUUCUGAGUAGUCUAUCAACUGAGCAACAUCGAAGAGAGGAGAUGGAGAAGGAAAAGUUCUGGGCAAGACAGAAAAGUGUGAUGAAAUGAUGGAGGACAGAAAGAAACAGAGGAAAAUUCCCUUCAUCAUUGCUGAGCUUCUAACUCAACCAACACUUUCUCAUCAUGAAGAGGACAACAGUAAAUAUCUCAUGUGCUGCUGUUCAACUUUUUUCCUAAUAUUUUCAGUGCAGAAACUGAAAAAUUAUCAAGAGGAAAAAACGGAGUUUUACGUUCUCACUACUUCCAUUAUCAUAUUCUACAGAAAAGAGGUAUGAAAUCCUUCCACCACUUUUGAAGCAAAUGAAGCACAGAAGAAGCUUCACAAAUGAAUAUCAUGAGAUUUGGGUCUGGAGGUCACUAUUCCCACAGCUCCAUAUAUUUAUUGCUUUACAGAUGACAUAUUUUGUUUGAAGGAACUCCAGUCAUAUCUUUUGGUUUAUGUAGCUGUUAUAUCAGUUCAGCUCUACUGAGGACGAUAAAAGCUGAACUAAGCUUCCUACUGCUCCACUCACACUGAUCUGUACUCAGCUACCAGACCUACAAGAAAACACUGAAGUCUAGUAGAUUUCAGAAAAUACAAGCCAUCUUUCCAAUCUUGCAGUGCAUUUUGAAUGUCUUCUUGACAUGUCCCUAAAGUCCUAAUGCUGUCCAUUUUCACCAACUUUGACAGAAUUUAACCAAAGACAGACACUUGGAUGGGCAAAUCAGAUGGUACAAGCAGGAGCUCACUCAAAUUCUCAUGACAAGCAAGAGUCUUUCACUGAGGAUUAAGAUUUAACUGGAUCAUUUUUGCUUUUUCCAACAUUAUGAUAUCUUUCCAUGCCACCUCCACCACCUUCUCUGCAACUCAGCAUUGAAGCUGCUCCUCAUCUCCAGAAAAUGUUGCAUGGCAUGAAUUGAAACAAUUUAAAACAGGAAAAUGCAAUCAGAGGAAUGAAUAAAAUCCAGAGAAUAGGUCAGUGGGUGAAAUAUUAUAUAUUUUUCCACUUAGUAAUUUUAGAAAAAAAUGCAUAUUUUGCCUUGAACCCCACGACUUGCUGUUAAAAUAAUAAGAAAAAAAAAAAACAUAUCCUACUGAAAACAGCACUUUCUGGAGACACAAUGAAUGAAGAAGCACUUCUGUGUCCUUUUUUUUUUCAAAUGAAGAGGAACAGAGAUCCUGCAGACCAUGCUCCUCCCGGAAUGUGAAAGAAGAUAAACUUUAAGACAGCAGGUUGUCAACAAUAUUAGAACAUCUCUGCUAAGCUAUUCUAGGAAUAGAAAUGACAAUGACUUUUCAAGACAUUGUUUACCAGCAUGAAUAUUUUGCAUGACUCCUGCAAGUCACUCUGAUCUCUCCUUAUGAAUAAUAAUUCUACAAAUUUAAGUGUGUUUACUUUAAACUGUGUUUAAAUGCCACAGACUGUACUGACAAAACAUUCAUUUUUGGAUGUAGUAAGAUCCCUAUGCUCAAAAAAUUCUGUGCUUGCUACAAAAAAGAUAGCUACAUCAUACAUGGAAACCCUUUUAAAAAAAAUGCAAGUAUAUGUUUUAGUAUAUUAGAACAUUGUAGUACAUUCUUCUGUUUCUCAUACUAUUUCCAAUAUGGCUGCUUUUUUACUUUCUCCCCACAGCAUUUCUUCCUAUUUUUCUUCUUGUAGCUUUUACUCAAACUUUGAACUAUACAAUGGCAGCUGUGUGUGCCUGUGCCAGUUACCGGAUGCAAACAUAUUAUUUUAAACUAAACUGUGCUGUCACUGUUUCUGAGAGUCUGAGCUGAAAGUGUCUACUGUCCCUUUAUGUGGUUCUUCCUGUCUGACCCUGGUAUCUAUGGUAUUAACCUGUUCCAUGUAUUUCCAGAGGGAUUUUUCCCACCACAGCUUUUCUGUUUGUUUAUUUGACAUUAUAAUAUGUCUUUUUCAGGUACUGGGAUUAAUAACUUGAGAACAAUAAUAACAAUAAUAUAUGUUGUGCAAGUUGCAUAAAAAAGACCUUAAAUUAAGAACAAACACACAGAUGUAGGCAAUAUUUUAGGCAAAUCUAUGUCACAAAGCUGGCAUAGUAUUAACAUUUGAAACUUCUAGUUCAAAUACUUUUCCAGCCCUUCAGUUUUACUGCCAAAGUACACUACUGGCCAAAAAAAACCCAGUCACCUUCUGAAUCUAACUAAGCAAAAAGGUUCGAGCCUCCUGUUGGAUGAUUAAUGCAUGGGCAAUUAUGUUUCAGCUGGCAACGAGUUAUUUAACCCCAACUGGUGCAAUGAGUUGCUUCUCAUUUCAACCUGGAGAGACUCACACAGAGAAAAACAGCAAUUAGGAAGUUUUAUUGACUUAAAUGAAUUAAAGUUCUUUGGCAGUCGAACCCUGGCAGAAGACAUUGUGCUGUGAAUUGCGAUAAGCUUGUUAUGAAUUAGCGAUGAUGAUUUGAGACGUCUUCCCCCGGGGCCCAUACACUGGAGGUCGGAAAAAGGAAUGUAGCCUGAAGGAGCCAGGAGCAGAGAGGUGGAGAAGGGGUGGAGGUGAACUGAGCAUGGCUGGAAAGCAGAUGGUAUCAUGGAUGAAGAUCCUCAUAAAUGGAUGAGUGAAUGAUGAUUGGCUAUGACGGGGCAUGGUCCAAUGCUAAUAGGCUGUGGUGUAUGAACAACAACCUAUCAGGUGGUUGACCUGUGUCAUCCACCUGCGAUUGGAUGACACAGGUGAGGCUGAAGAGUUUUUCUGUUUGAAUUUACGUCUAGGCUUCAUUUCUUAAACAACCACGUCUAAAGACAAAUCCUGUGGUCGUGGAAAAGAUGUCAGUCUGUUUGAGAAGGUCAAAUCAUUGAUAUGCAUCAAGCAGAGAAAACAUCUAAAGAGAUUUCUUAAACUACUGAAACUGGGUCAAGAACUGUCCAACGCAUUAUUAAAAACUAGAAGGAUAAUGGAGACCAAUUUUCUUCAACGAAGAAAUGCGGAUGGAAAAAAAUCAUGAAUGAUUGUCAUUGGUGAUCACUUAAUGUUUUGGUGAAAUGAAAUUAAAGAAAAACAGUAGAACCCAGUCUAUGUUUAACAGUGAAAGUAAAAACAUUUCCACACGCAGAAUGUGAAGGGAAGUCAAGGCACUGGGACUGAACAGCUCUAUAGCUUUGAGAAAACCACUGAUCAGUGAAGCUAACCGGAAAAAAGCUUCAAUCUGCUAGGGAGCAUAAAGAUUGGACUCUGGAGCAAUGGAAGAAGGUCAUGUGGUCUGAUGAGUCCAGAUUUACCCUGAGUUCCAGAGUGAUGGGUGCAGCAGAGUAAGAAGAGAGACAGGUGAAGUGAUGCACCCAUCAUACCUAGUGAUUACUGUACAAGCCUGCGGGGGCAGUGCUAUGAUCUGGAGUUUCUGCAGUUGGUCAAGUCCAGGUUCAGCAACAGCAUGUGCUCACAGAAUGAGGUCAGCUGAUUACCUGAAUGUACUGAAUGACCAGGUUAUUUUUUCACCCCUGUUGACAGGGAAUAUUCCAAGAUGGAUUUAUGGGGGUCGAAUUGUAAAAGACUAGUUCAGGGAGCAUGAGACAUCAUUUUCACACAUAGAUUGGUCACAACAGAGUCCAGACCUUAACCCCAUUGAGAUGUGCUGGAGAAGGCUUUGCACAUCAGUCAGACUCUAUCAUCAUCAAUGCAAGACCUUGGUGAAACUGGAUAGAAAUAAAUCUUGUCACAUUCCAGAAGCUUAUCGAAACAAUGACACAGUGGAUGUGUUCUGUAAUCAAAGCUAAUGACGGUCCAACAAAAUAUUAGAGUAUGUGAAUUUUUUUGGCCAGGCAAUGUAUAAAGUAGGGUCAUUGACUUGUCUAGAUAUCCAUACAUACAAAUUAAAAAAAAAAAACCUUUAAAAAUGAACUCACAGCAUUUAGUUACAGAAUGAUCCAAUAAAAUGAAAUGUAUCUCCCAACAUUCAUAGAAACUCCUUUAUUUAUUGUCAAACAAGCAGUCGUAUUGCACUAAGGUUUCCAUUCAAAUUCAGAUGUUGCUCUUAGGUUUUCCCUGAAAAAGGCAUGAAUUUCCUCAAGCUAUGUAUAACUUACACAAGUGUAUCAUUAAUACAUUUUGGAAAUAAGCAACAAGUCCAAAAACAGCAAAAAAUGUGUGUAAUGAAGCCAACUGAAGAAGUUUAGAAUUUUCUGUGUGCAAACAAAAACUCUCUGUCAGGAACUGGGACUGAAGCAAGUGAAACAUUUUAGAGGAAGUGGAAGAUUCUUGCUUUGUUUUUUGUUUUGUUACCAGCAGCUCAGAGUGGAAACCAAUUGAUUUGCUUUCAUCAUGUUAAAAAGACAACAGUAUGUUUUCCUGAAAUGAGUUGGGUCUGUGAGCUGCUAAUUCACUCAAGUACAGCAAUUAAUAAGAAAAGAAAUGGUGCAAUAACAAUAGAGGCAGAAAUGCGGAGUAAAAACAAAACAAAAAAACCUUGAUAAGUUGAGAGGAUAUUGAUUUGGCCAACUACCCACAGCAUUUCAUCAACCUUCUGGAUAGAUUGAGAACAAUUUUAUAUAAGACACAUUUAUUUUUGCAGUUAUUUGAUACUCAAAUUUCACCUGAAGAUUUGUAUAAUAUACAGUAUAUGUUCUGUAUCAUGUAGUGUUUGGUUUGUCUGAAGGUGCUGUGUGUGAGCUGUUCUGGAGUUGUGACAGCAAAUUUAUUGGAAACUUUAAAGAGAAAUAGAGAGUCCAUGUCAGCAAUGAGGGUUCAGGUCUAUUCAUCUCUUUGCCUUUGCAUAAUGUGGACUUUUGGUCCUUCCAUAUAAGGAUGGGGUAUUUACCACAAGACAUUUCAUACUAUGCAUUCUAUGACAUUUCAUACUAUGCAGUCAUCAUGGGACUAUUAUUCAUGUCUAAUUCAGUCACCAAUGAUUUCAAGUCAUUUUCUAUAAUCUAAGACUAGUCUACUAUCAGAAAAUGCAAUUAUCUGUCUGCAUGAAGCAAUCUAUUUUGAUUUGAUCAAAAUAUUGAAACAUAAUGAUACUUCAAUCAAUAAGCCCAAAUGGGGAUCAGAACUAGGUUUAAUGGAAACAGGGUUUUACUUUAAGUCUUCAGAAAAUAGACAAAUACAUUCAAAUAAAUGUGAAAUUCUCUUUUAACUACAUUUAACUACCUAGAAGUAUAACCUGAUACCCAACGGAUGUGUAAAUGAAAUGGUGUGCUGAGUGGUAUGUCAGGUGACUGAGUUGGGACAAAAUGGCAGCUCAAGUGUAUGGAUUGAGGUAUAAAUUGGCAAAGGGGUAAAUUGACCUGGAGCCUGAAAAUCGUCUCAGUAUUCUGUUUUUUUCUUUGUUCUUUUAUCAUGUGUAUGCCUUUUAUUUUGCACCACAUAAACUUUCAAAAUAUUUUAUCUAAAUUUUCCUCCCCAGCAUCUUGCUUUCCUCUAAGAAAGUUAAGUAAAUAAUGAUUAAAAAUCUCUCGACAGUAAUAGACAAGAAAUGAUGUUAAAUAUUUCUUUGCUAAGGGCUAUAGAAGUCUUUCUAGAAUUCUAGUACUUUUGGUAAACUUGCUAUAAAAGUAUUUCCUAAUGUUUUGCAAUGAAAGUUUAUACAAAAUCUUCGCUUAAAAUAUUUAAAUCAGGGUUGAUUUUGGUUGGAUAAGUACUAAGAAAAACUUAGUCAUUUGUGUCCUUUGUGUAUUUGAAUAAUUGCAAACCUGCUCAUGCCUCUGCAAGCAAGAUGAAACAUUGAGUUUCAGAAAGACACUGGAAUAAUUUGAGUUUGGAAACUGGAGUUCCAUGAAGGUUUGCAAACUUUAAACUAUGUCAUAUCUGAUAAACAUAAACUGUAACAUUUACUUGAUUUGCAACAAGUCUAACUAAAUGAAGUGAUAAAAGAUUGCUUUUGCUGUUAUUUUAUUUUUGCUGUUAUAUUUGCAUAUUUCUUUGUUUUAUGUGGAGGGUUAUAACAAAUGGCAUAUUAACUAAAUCAAAAGAGAACAACUCUCAGGAAUAUUUUGUAUAAAAAUCAGACAUACAAUGUGAAAUAUUAUGAUGCUGCUGUAUAUAUUUUCAAGGUCAUUGAUGCUAACUUCAGAUGAAUAUUCUGAUUAUUUCAAACUGUUGAUCUGGAUCUGUCCAACUUUACUUGAAGUCUUGAGGUAGAUAUUUCAGUCAAAGCUGUAUCAAGCUGCCCCUUCAGACCGCUCCAAUGUGCUUCACCUUCGAAAGGAUCUAAAAGGAAGUUACAACCUCUUAUGUUAAAUUUAUCAAGCGAAUGUUUUCAUCUCACAAUACUGUUCUGUAUUUGCUUCAAACAGAAAAACAUCUGAACAUCAGUGACAUCAUUUUGUUGCAUGUAAUUUUAAAACUGUGAUCACAAAUAGAACGAUAAGUGCAUCUAUAAAGACUUUGAAACAAAAGCAUGCACUGAACAUACUUAAAAGCCUAUGCAAGAACUAAGUUUAGCUUUUGGUUAUUGCUUUCCAAGAAACACCUGGUCAUGUGUCACAGAUGUCUUGGUCAGUUCAGUAAGGUGGAGGAAUUUCUGACUGUAGUGACUUACUAGUGCAGCCCUACCUUCAUUUAUUGUUUUUUGUCAAAAAAAUGUUCAAAGUUUCAGAAGAUAAAAUUUUCUGAAACUUAGUUGGUUGUAAAAAGAGCCUCAAAUCUGCUGUAUCAAGGGAUGUAAAAGGAAGGCAGAUUUUGUUGUUUUGUUUGUCAGAAGAGCAAGUUUAUUUACAAGAUUCCCAUCAUGCAUCUGUUUUGUCCAACUUUGAUUUAGAGAGCAUUUCACAUUCAUGCUCAAUGUAUAAGACCUAUUUGUGUUUUUUUUUCCAUGUGUGUUAAAAUGUGCGUUUGUGCAAAAACAUUUGAAUUUAUUUUUCAGGAAGUAACCACUGGGUUGAAUUAGGUAAGCCGUGAGCUUUUACUUUGAGCUAACCUAUAAUGAAUGCUUGAUUUUAAUUAUUAUAAUGGAUAAACAUUUAAAUAAUGGAACUCCAUUAUUUCCAAAUCACUGUAAAGUAUUUUUUAUAAUUUAUUCCUCACUUCAAGUGAAUCUACCUUUUGUUUGGUCUUCUGAAGAAAUACAGUGAGGCUGUCCAAUAGUGACCCAUGCAAGCUCUCUGACAUCCUGAUAAUAAUCUAAUAUAAUAAAUGAUCACUGUUCAUUUAGACUCAGAAUUUCCAAAUCACAGGUCUGUUAUCAUUGUUCAUUCAACAUAUCUGUGAUAAAAAGGACUUUUAGUUUUAAAAUUUGCAAUGAGUUCCAGCAGUAAUCUCUCUUCUAUAUGACUUCAGGUUGAGGGAAAGGCAAAACUUUUGACCUCAUCCCCUUCAUGUCUCCGUCUCUUGCUCCUGAGCCAUAAGUUGCUAUAUGUGAAUUUGUUGUUUUCUACAAAUUGUUUUAGAUUCAUUCCAAAUGCAUGUGCAGGACACCGACUAAACUGACCUUAAUGUAAAUGUUCUUUUGAAAGGAAGUCUUUCCUCUGCUGAUAAAAAAGUUAUCUCUUCUUCUUUUCGCUGUGAGAGGAGAAAGCAAUUUUAUGGAUUAACAGGAGUACACAGUGUCAGAGUAAAGUGUGCAAAUGGAUUGAGCUUCACAAGUUUUGUGUUUUGAGAUUUCAACAGCAGAUUGAAAUGGAGCAGAUGAAUGUCUCAGUUUUCAGCAGUGCUUUAAGUGGAACAAAAGACAUGCUGUUAGGUACAUCUGUCUCUUCACAUAGAGAUCAAAGGUAUUAUUGUACAGAAAUGAGAAAGAAGCAAAUUUCAGUGUCAUGGAGGCACUUUUAUUAACUUAAAGCCUCAAUGGUGUUAACAUGGACAUAUAAAACAAUUAAAGAUAUAAAAUAAAAGCUUCUUAAAGACAUAAAGAAGUGAAAGACUUGAGUUUUUACUGUUGCGGGACAUAUAAAAUGUAUACUACCAAUGGACUAAGACUCAUUUAACGUUUCCAAAAUUCCCAUUCCGCUGUGGGGUAACAUUUAAAAGUGCUUCUACUGCGUACCGAUGCAUACUGGCCCACUUAAAGCACUGACUUUCAGAAUAAAAGUUGACAUAGUCAUGGUAUUUUUUUACCCACUUCCUCCUCCUUGUUUUUACAGCAAUCCUAUUAUCAUUUUUUAAUCAAAAAUAAAUUGUAUGUUUGCCCUGUUGAUUUUGUGAUCACAAUAAAGAGACAGAAAAUAAAUUCCCUUAAUGAUGAGAGGCUUCCAACAACUAAUGAAUGAGUUUAUGCAAUAAAGAUGCUGAAUCUGAGUAUAUUGUCAAAACACUGGAGAGAAAAAAAAGUACAAAGUAUCUUCCACUGUACACAAUGUAUUUUGAUUGAAUGUCAAGCCUGGUAUUUACAUUUUCUAUUUUUAAACAUGUAAAAAUGAAUACAAAUGUUGAAAAGAGACUUAUAAAAAAGCUAUGCUGUAAAAGAAAACACCAAGUUCUGACUGAAUGCUGAUUUACUUGAUCAACUACCCGUUUAAAGAAUAGGAUGAAUAAAAGAACUUAAGAAUAUUACAUUAAAAAAAUGUUUGGAAAAAAAUAACACAUUCAGUUGAAUGAGAAAACUUCAGACAACAAAUAAAAAUAUGACUUUAAGAAAUUUUA